UACAGAGGUCCCAAGCGUUGUUCGGAUUCACUGGGCGUAAAGGGUGCGUAGGCGGUCAGUUAAGUCGGAUGUGAAAUCUCCGAGCUCAACUCGGAAACUGCAUUGGAAACUACCUGGCUCGAGGGUUGGAGGGGGGACUGGAAUGCUUGGUGUAGCAGUGAAAUGCGUAGAUAUCAAGCGGAACACCAGUGGCGAAGGCGAGUCCCUGGACAACUCCUGACACUGAUGCACGAAAGCUAGGGGAGCAAACAGG
rnacentral:rRNA from 1 species